GAAAUGCGAUAAGUAAUGUGAAUUGCAGAUUUCAGUGAAUCAUCGAAUCUUUGAACGCGCCUUGCGCUCCUUGGUAUUCCUUGGAGCAUGCCUGUUUGAGUAUCAUGAAAUCUUCAAAGUAAAUCUUUUGUUAACUCAAUUGGUUUCUACUUUGGUAUUGGAGGUCUUUGCAGCUUCACACCUGCUCCUCUUUGUUCAUUAGCUGGAUCUCAGUGUUAUGCUUGGUUCCACUCGGCGUGAUAAGUUAUCUAUCGCUGAGGACACUGUAAAAGGUGGCCAAGGUAAAUGCAGAUGAACCGCUUCUAAUAGUCCAUUGACUUGGACAAUACUUUUAUGAUCUGAUCUCAAAUCAGGUAGGACUACCCGCUGAACUUAAGC
rnacentral:misc_RNA from 1 species